GAAUCUGGAAGCUGGAACACUAACAGGUUGAACAAAAGUUAGUAUAGCAGAAUCUGACCUUAAGAAAACUUUGUGGGCGUGAAUAUAAAGGCACAGAUUCAGGUUACAGAGGAAAGUGAACUCAUAAAAAGGGUACAGUUUGACUGUCUUUUCUCAGAAACUGCCAUGUGAUCUGAACAAUGUGUCUGUGAGAAUCAAUGGUUUUGUCUUGUGGAUGGCGUUUUCCAGGAAGACUUUAGAGUGGACAGACCCUGGACUUAAAUGGGACUGCAGAGCUCUGGCACCUCGGAAUCAGCACUGUCAGCUGCGCAACUCUACCCCUCCUUCCUAUUAUAGCUCUCGCAGUUGGUCUGCUCUGCAGCAGGGCAGCUGCAAUGUGAUCUGUGCCGCGCCGGGGACUCACUUCACGGAAUAAUUAGCCCUCGCUGAAAUGACCAAGAAUGGUGCAGUGAAGCAGGAGGAAAAAGGCGCAGGCUGGGUCGGCGUUUGCGACAAUUAAAGUGUGUGUCAAAUCCAUUCAGAGCGCUGAGCUGCGGUCCAAGGAGUUGGACUAACUGUCCAGCAUGCUAAGAAGUAAACAUGGCAGUUUACUUUUUCUUUUUGGUGUUGGGAGAUCCAGCAAAGUGUCCCGCAUACAAAUUCAGGUUUUCCUACACUCUGAGAGAGAAAACACCUUUUUGCAUUUCUUUUGAUAGAAAACGAUGAUGUGUUUUUCUCCUACUAACCUUGUUGGAGCAGCAAAUAAAAAGGAAAAGAAGUCCAGAGAGUGGCAGCCACAGCAAGGAGACUAAUCCAUCCGUCCUGUGCGGCUUUGCGGCUGCCGCUGCGAUCAGUCAGCCUCAGCCAGCCGAGAUGUUGCGGACACAACGUAAGGAAGAGGAGGAAGAGGAGGAGGAGGAGGAUAUAUUUAUCCUUCACUGAAGGAUUGCGGUGUGAGGUGCUCCACGCAGAGUCCAUCAUUUCUAAUUGGAGAGAAAGUGCAAUUCAGAACAGUAGCAAAAUACUACCGGUAAUCUGUUGUAGACUAAGAAAAUCGGACACAUGUUUGGAACAUUUAAGGGUCCUAGAAUUUAUAGAGUAUCAAUGGGCAGGAAUUCAGAUGAUAUUCAAUAAUUUUGGUUGCGUUUUAAUGUAUUUGUUCAUAAUGCAUUUCUUCCUGUAUUAAAUACUUGUCAUUAAUUGUGUUAACUAGAAUUGGAUGGAAAAUAUGUAAACAAAUGUGACCUGUUUAGGUGUAAUUUAGUUUUUUGUAAAUAAAUUACCGGUAACUAGUUUUUUUGUUUACAUUAACUUUUUGAUGUGUUUUUUUCCAACUCUUUUAAAAAUUGUAGUACAGGCUUAAGCUCAGGAAAUAGUUUUUUAAAAUGAGUUUUUUUUUUAAAUAGGUAUUGAACAGCUGUGUCAACUUGGGCACAUUAAAACCUUACAACGUUACGUUGAAAUCAAACUAAAAAAAGGUACAAAUACAGCUUUUUAAAUGAUACAUAACUUUGGAUCAUAAUAAACAAAAUUAAUAGAAAGUCUGUCGAUGUAACAGUUUAUAUUUCUGAUCCCCUGCGUAAGAACAGGUGAUCUCAUCACUGACUGAACAGCAAAUUCACCUGUAAAGAGGAAAAUCAGACAGAAAAUCUAACUUUGCCGAGCUGAAGGCUGCUGUUAUAGAAACCUUGAGCUUCCAUUAACAUCCACUGUCAGUUGUCUGACUAUAAUACAUCAAGUUUGAAAUUGAUCUUUAAAUGUUUUUCUGAUUUUAAGAGGUAGUGGAUUAGGGGUUUUCAUUUGCUGAAAUUUGUCAUUAAAUUGAAAAAUUUCCCAAAAAA